UAGGGAAUCUUCCACAAUGGACGCAAGUCUGAUGGAGCAACGCCGCGUGAGUGAAGAAGGUCUUCGGAUCGUAAAGCUCUGUUGUUGGUGAAGAAGGAUAGAGGCAGUAACUGGUCUUUAUUUGACGGUAAUCAACCAGAAAGUCACGGCUAACUACGUGCCAGCAGCCGCGGUAAUACGUAGGUGGCAAGCGUUGUCCGGAUUUAUUGGGCGUAAAGCGAGCGCAGGCGGAAUGAUAAGUCUGAUGUGAAAGCCCACGGCUCAACCGUGGAACUGCAUCGGAAACUGUCAUUCUUGAGUGCAGAAGAGGAGAGUGGAAUUCCAUGUGUAGCGGUUGAAUGCGUAGAUAUAUGGAAGAACACCAGUGGCGAAGGCGGCUCUCUGGUCUGCAACUGACGCUGAGGCUCGAAAGCAUGGGUAGCGAACAGG
rnacentral:rRNA from 1 species